AAGCAUAUCAAUAAGCGGAGGAAAAGAAACCAACAGGGAUUGCCCUAGUAACGGCGAGUGAAGCGGCAACAGCUCAAAUUUGAAAUCUGGCUCUUUCAGAGUCCGAGUUGUAAUUUGCAGAGGGCGCUUUGGCGUUGGCAGCGGUCCAAGUUCUUUGGAACAGGACGUCACAGAGGGUGAGAAUCCCGUACGUGGUCGCUAGCCUUCGCCGUGUAAAGCCCCUUCGACGAGUCGAGUUGUUUGGGAAUGCAGCUCUAAAUGGGAGGUAAAUUUCUUCUAAAGCUAAAUACUGGCCAGAGACCGAUAGCGCACAAGUAGAGUGAUCGAAAGAUGAAAAGCACUUUGGAAAGAGAGUCAAAUAGCACGUGAAAUUGUUGAAAGGGAAGCGCUUGCAGCCAGACUUGCCUGUAGUUGCUUAUCUGGACUUUUGUCCAGUGCACUCUUCUGCGGGCAGGCCAGCAUCAGUUUGGGCGGUUGGAUAAAGGUCUCUGUCAUGUACCUCCUUUCGGGGAGGCCUUAUAGGGGAGACGACAUGCAACCAGCCUGGACUGAGGUCCGCGCAUCUGCUAGGAUGCUGGCGUAAUGGCUGUAAGCGGCCCGUCUUGAAACACGGACCAAGGAGUCUAACAUCUAUGCGAGUGUUUGGGUGUCAAGCCCAGACGCGUAAUGAAAGUGAACGGAGGUGGGAACCUUUUAGGUGCACCAUCGACCGAUCCUGAUGUCUUCGGAAGGAUUUGAGUAAGAGCAUAGCUGUUGGGACCCGAAAGAUGGUGAACUAUGCUUGAAUAGGGUGAAGCCAGAGGAAACUCUGGUGGAGGCUCGCAGCGGUUCUGACGUGCAAAUCGAUCGUCAAAUUUGGGCAUAGGGGCGAAAGACUAAUCGAACUAUCUAGUAGCUGGUUCCUGCCGAAG
rnacentral:rRNA from 1 species